rnacentral:rRNA from 1 species
CCUACGGGGGGCAGCAGUGAGGAAUAUUGGUCAAUGGCCGUAAGGCUGAACCAGCCAAGUAGCGUGAGGGAAGACUGCCCUAUGGGUUGUAAACCUCUUUUAUGCGGGGAUAAAGGUGUCCACGUGUGGAUGUUUGCAGGUACCGCAUGAAUAAGGACCGGCUAAUUCCGUGCCAGCAGCCGCGGUAAUACGGAAGGUCCGAGCGUUAUCCGGAUUUAUUGGGUUUAAAGGGUGCGUAGGCGGGCUUUUAAGUCAGCGGUAAAAAUUCGGGGCUCAACCCCGUCCGGCCGUUGAAACUGGGGGCCUUGAGUGGGCGAGCAGUAUGCGGAAUGCGUGGUGUAGCGGUGAAAUGCAUAGAUAUCACGCAGAACUCCGAUUGCGAAGGCAGCUUACUAAACUGCCACUGACAUUGAUGCUCGAAAGUGUGGGUAUCAAACAGGAUUAGAUACCCCAGUAGUC